GUAACUGCGAGUGAAGCGGGAAAAGCUCAGACUGAAAAUCUUCGGAAUUGUAGUCUGGAGAAGUAUGGUCAGCCGAUGAUGAUGAGUGAAGUCUUCUGGAAAGGAGCGCCUUGGAGGGUGAUAGCCCCGUUCAUACUUAUCAUUAGAAGCGUACGACCUGCUUUCUACGAGUCGUGUUGUUUGGGACUGCAGCACUAAGUGGGUGGUAAAUUCCAUCUAAAGCUAAAUAUUGGUGGGAGACCGAUAGCGAACAAGUACCGUGAGGGAAAGAUGCAAAGAACUUUGAAAAGAGAGUUAAAUAGUACCUGAAAUUGCUGAAAUGGAACCGAUGGGAAGCAGUGUCGGUGGCGGGUAUUUAUACCUGUCACAAGCCAGGCUUCUUUUCUGGUGCGGGAAAGGCUGAUAAACUAGUUUAGGUUAUCUACGCCGUCGUGCUAGCGAAG
rnacentral:rRNA from 1 species